GCUCUCUCUGGCCCGGCUGGUUCUGUGCAUAAAUUUGAUUUUUCCUGUAUUUUCCUCAUAAUUUGUAUCUGAGAGCAUGGCUAUUGUCGUAAAAUAUUCUGUUCGUGGAUUUGCGAGCACCAAUCAAACGCACAAGCUCAAGAACUCUCCGGAAAACCACCCGAGAAGGUAUUACAUAUGGCUUCGACAUGCUGCGACUCAGUGGGAAUCCCAAACUUCAGAAUAUUCUGCAGAUUGAAUUACUCAAGAUGGAAGUGCGUUGAGACCAUUUCACCCUUGCUAUGUUUUGGAAGAACACCAUGCCACGUCUGAUAAUUAAUGCAGUGUCUGAUAUCUUGGGAAUGUGACACCCCCUCGAGCUGAUGGUGGCCGACAAAUUGGGGGUCCUUCACAAGCUGCUUCAGGGUCUGCCUGCAUUGAAGUGCCAUAUUCCAGUGUACCUGGUGUUGCUGCAGAAGAGCCUGUUGAGACAGGUUCAGUUCGAGCAGAAAAUUUGAUUGCAAAUUAUGCUGGCCAAGAAGACAGAGUCAGCACGGAGCAAGACUUUGCCCAAAAUAGUACAGAAGAUUUCACAGCCAAGAGUUUCGAACUGGUCAGCCCUGAAGGACGCUGGUGUUAUGUGCAAUUUUGUGAAAUAUAUUUAAUUUACAUGAA